CUUGCAACAGUAAAGCCAUAGCUGAGCUAUGACAGCAUGGAAUGUUCAUAAACAUUCAUAUGAGGAACAAACUAUUAAGAAAGUCUGUAGUCAAAUAUAUAUGUCAGGGGAGACAGGUUGGUGUCCACAGAUGCCAUAGUAGUGACACACCCAUCUCCCGCUGUACCCAUAAGGUUUCUUGCAAAUGCAUAUGUUCCUUAACAUUUUCAUUUAAACAUAUUUUUAAAAUAUUUUCAGGUGAACAGCACAUUUACGUAGGUUGGAUGAAUGCAGUUGGGAAGUGAAGAUCCAGCUUCCAACUACCCACCCGCUUUAUUACUCUGUGUGCCAGAUGGAUCUAGAGAACUGUUAAGGAAUCAAAAAAGUUGGAUGAAAGUUUGUGUUUUUCUUUAAAACACCUUAGCCAUUGGGGAAGAGGAACAGAGGAUUACUGCUUGAAUCAGGAAUCUUUCUUCUGUUCUCUGAAGUCUCAACUGCUGUCACAUUUCUCUUCCAAUCUGUGUCUGUCCAAGAAGCUGACAUGAUAAGAGCCUCUCUAGGUGAGAUGCUCCAAUUCUCCUGCUACAAGACCUCCUACAUCAAGUGGAGUUAAGCUGGUGAGCUGUUCUUCCGCUUAGAACAUUACUUACUCUACUUGAGAGAUCUGCUACAAUGUCUUAUGUUUCCUAAAAGUGUCUCAAUAAAGGUAAUAAAAACAAAAGUGCUUUUGUGAUGAGGUUUUCAGUCAAGGAAUUCCAUGUGACGAAGAAGCUAAUCAACAGAGAAGGUAAGCAAUUUCCUUCAAUGAACAACAGCAAACCCUCCAAUAUUUCAAAGAUGGAAAGCGAGGCAUAUGUGGCCAGCCAACAUCACAGUUAAGAUAGAAAAAGCUGUUAAUGAGAAAAAACAUAAAAACUAGGAGAGCCAGAAGCUUUGUCUGAGCCUACUAGAAACAACAAAAUUGUGCCCCUUCUUCUCCUCUCCCUUCUGCUGAGUUAGCUGAAUGCAAAUUAUUAUUGGGCUUUCAUUUCAGUUUGAAGCAACUGAAGUAAACUAAGGUUAAAAAGGGAAAAUGGGAGAGGAGAGAGAAACUAGGAUAUUUUAAAUACCACUGAAACAGUGGGACAGCCAAGGAUUACUUGGGACUGUCCUUGCCAAACUGGGGCAUUUAUAGGAUAUUGAACAUUGAGAAAAGGCUAAUGGAGGUAAAUAUUAGAGAUGAAAAAGGUGGGUUAGGGAAAUGGAAAUUGAAUGCACAGAUGUCUAUAAUCCACAGUGAAACGGAAAAAGGAAAAGUAUGGUAUAUAAUAUAGUUUAAAGUAACUAAUUUAUGAGUUCUAUAUUUGUAAGUUUUAUAUUUCUAUAGUAAUAUAAUCUUUUAUAUAUCCAAUCUGUAACACCAACUCAUAUCCAACUUGUAUAAGAAAGGGAUUGUGGUGACGUACCUACUUAAGUCUGAACUGGAUUUAAAUGAAGUCAGUGAUAAACCAUAACCCUGUCCCUGUUGUAUAUCCAACAACUAAUGUUAAUCUAUUUGCAGAAUUUGUUCCAAAAAAGCAACGUAUAUUCUAAAUUAAGUAUCCAAUAAUUAUAUUAUUAUGUAACUGGAAUUGUAUAACUCUUAACAUAAAUGUAUAAUAUGGCAACACUUCACAUAAGUAUACCUAUAAAUCUGUUGCAGUUUCAGGUUUUACUCUCAGUCUUGACACAUAAGGUAAAUGAAACCCAACAAAAUUUUUACUAACGUCUUGAUAAUGUUCUCAAAUGCUGCUGGAGUUUUUAUCCAACUGGGUUUGUACAGUUUUUAACAUAAAUAUGUAUACUUUAGUAACACUUUAUAUAAGUAUUCCUUUAAAACUAUUGCAGUCUCAAAUUUUAACUCCAGUCUUGACAAAUAAAGAGUAGUAAUCAAUCAAAGUCUUACUGACAUCUUGAUCACUUUCUCAAGCAAUGCUGAAGUGUAAAGUAGAGUCAAUUGUGCAGCUGGAAUAAAAGUAUAUGAUGAUACCAACGUAGAGUAGUUCCAAAUCAAAAUAGUUAAUCGAUCUGUUUCAGGGUUUGAGAAAUCAGUUGUUAUUUUAAGUGAUGAAUUUGAUCCGUUGGUGGG